AAAUUGAAGAGUUUGAUCAUGGCUCAGAUUGAACGCUGGCGGCAGGCCUAACACAUGCAAGUCGAACGGUAGCACAGAGAGCUUGCUCUCGGGUGACGAGUGGCGGACGGGUGAGUAAUGUCUGGGAAACUGCCUGAUGGAGGGGGAUAACUACUGGAAACGGUGGCUAAUACCGCAUAACGUCGCAAGACCAAAGAGGGGGACCUUCGGGCCUCUUGCCAUCAGAUGUGCCCAGAUGGGAUUAGCUAGUUGGUGAGGUAACGGCUCACCAAGGCG
rnacentral:rRNA from 1 species